GCGCCCUGGGCGGAGUGGCCGAGAGGCUGGAGGGAAACCACGAGACACUGGGUGAGAGCGUGUCUGAAGCCAGGGCGGGUGCUGGCAGGAGCCGCGGAGAGCUCGGGAACGGCGAGGCUCCCGCUCACCACCGGUGUCUCCGUGCCCGCCCGGGUGACGUGCCCCGCUCAGCUCCGCUGCGCACAGGGAGGGCCGGGGUGCGACGUGGCCAUCCAGCUCCGCCCUUCGGCACCGGCGCCUGCCCGUGUCUCCGGGAGCGGGGGCUUAGCGCGGGGACGCGGGGACGAGGGCGCUGCUCGCGGCGGCGCUGGCUCCCGGCUCUUUCCAGGCAGAGGCGAACGGCGGGCUUCGUACAAACCCGAAAAUGGUGAGGAAAACUGAAAUAAGCCAGCAUGCCAAGUACACCUGUUCCUCCUGUGGCAAAACCAAGACAAAGAGACGAGCUGCGGGGAUCUGGCGUCGGUUCGUGCCUGAAAACCUAAGACAGGUGGUGCCUGGACCCACAGAACCAUUCCUGCCAUCACAGUAAAGUCCGCCAUCUGAAGACCGAGGAGUUGAAAGACCAGUAGAAGCUCCACCAUUUGAAACAUCGCUAGCCUGUAAUAAAUGUGUUAACUUAUGUAACAAAAUAAAAAACCCAGAUUUAUUAUCUUA